rnacentral:misc_RNA from 1 species
GAAAUGCGAUAAGUAGUGGGAAUUGCAGAAUUCAGUGAAUCAUCGAAUCUUUGAACGCACAUUGCGCCCCUUGGUAUUCCAUGGGGCAUGCCUGUUCGAGCGUCAUUUGUACCCUCAAGCUCUGCUUGGUGUUGGGUGUUUGUCCCCGUCUCCGCGCGUGGACUCGCCCCAAAGUGAUUGGCAGCCGGCGUACUGGUCCCGGAGCGCAGCACAUGUCGCGCAAACGAGUGCCUUGGUACGGCGGCGUCCAUAAGCCCCUCUCUCACGCUCUUGACCUCGGAUCAGGUAGGGAUACCCGCUGAACUUAAGC